CUGAUUAUAUUAAAGAGCCGCAGUAUUCUGACUGUGCGAAGGUAGCAUAAUAAAUUGUCUUUUAAAUGGAGGCUUGAAUGAAAGGUUGGACAAAGUAUCAUCUGUUUCUUAAAUAUUUAUUGAAUUUGACUUUCAAGUGAAAAGGCUUGAAUAAAUUAAAAAGACGAUAAGACCCUAUAAAUCUUUACAAUAAACAUGUUCUAUAUUUUAAUUUAUAAGUAUAUAAAAUAUUAAGUUUGUAUUUGUUUCGCUGGGGCGGCGUGGAUAUAUUAAUAAACUGUCUAUGUGUUAAAUCCAAUAAUUAUUGAUUAGUGAGAUUGAUCCUUAAAUAGAUUAAAAGAUUAAGAUACUUUAGGGAUAACAGCGUUAUUUUUUUUGAGAGUUCUUAUCGAAGAAAAAGUUUGCGACCUCGAUGUUGAAUUAAAGUAUCUUUAUGGUGCAGCCGCUAUAAGAGAGAGUCUGUUCGACUUUUAAUACUUUACAUGAUCUGA
rnacentral:rRNA from 1 species